UCUAUAUAAUCAUACUAAAUUUUUAAAAAAUUAUUUUAAAAAACAUGGCAAGCGAUAAAAUUAUAGCUACAAUUUUAAAAAUUAAAGUAGAUUAGGAACCAUCGAUUACACUCAUUUUCAUAUUUUUUUGUUUAACAUAAGCCGUUGAAAAUGAUUUUGAAUUAUUGUAUAAAUUUAAAUAUUUAAUAAAACCGCCCUCAACCCCACCUUGAACUGAACUGAACUGGCCAGGGAGAGUAAAACGAUGGAAGCCAUAACAUUUAUUUUCCACGAUAAAUACUGACAAGGUGUUCCAAGAAAACAAAAUGGCGAACAAGGGAAUAUUUUCAGUUCGAUUCAGGCUUUUAAAAUUCAUACUGUGGAUCAUACAACUGCAUACAGAGAAGAUAAAAGUCAAGAUGAAGUUCAAUUUAAAAACUGAUCCAAGGAUACAUGUUGGACCCAAGAAAACUUGUUCAUAUUGAACAACUAUUUUUUUAUUUUAGUUCUAAAUGAAUAUGGUAAUUAAAAAAAGAAAAUUAUGAA